CCUACGGGAGGCAGCAGUAGGGAAUCUUCCGCAAUGGGCGAAAGCCUGACGGAGCAACGCCGCGUGAGUGAAGAAGGAUUUCGGUUCGUAAAGCUCUGUUGUUAGGGAAGAAUGAUUGUGUAGUAACUAUACAUAGUAGAGACGGUACCUAACCAGAAAGCCACGGCUAACUACGUGCCAGCAGCCGCGGUAAUACGUAGGUGGCAAGCGUUGUCCGGAAUUAUUGGGCGUAAAGCGCGCGCAGGUGGUUUAAUAAGUCUGAUGUGAAAGCCCACGGCUCAACCGUGGAGGGUCAUUGGAAACUGUUAAACUUGAGUGCAGGAGAGAAAAGUGGAAUUCCUAGUGUAGCGGUGAAAUGCGUAGAGAUUAGGAGGAACACCAGUGGCGAAGGCGGCUUUUUGGCCUGUAACUGACACUGAGGCGCGAAAGCGUGGGGAGCAAACAGGAUUAGAUACCCGAGUAGUC
rnacentral:rRNA from 1 species